rnacentral:rRNA from 1 species
AUGUCUAUGCCACGCGCCGGCCGGUUCCUGUUCUGCAUUGCCGCCGUGGUGCUCGUCGUGGUGCCGCCGGCGGGCGUGGCCGGGCACACGCGGGGCGUGCGGCCGGGGCGGGCGGCGGGGCGGCCGUUCCCGGAGAACGCGACGCGGGCGGAGGAGCUGGAGCGGCUGUUCAUGCGGUGGGUGCGCUACGUGGGCGGCCUCAAGCACAGCACCUUCCACCACGCGCCGCUCGCCCGCGCCUUCCCGUCCUACUCGCUCGUCGUCGACAAGGACCCCGCGGCCGGCGACUUCACGUCCGUCCAGGCCGCCGUCGACUCGCUCCCGACCAUCAACCUCGUCCGCGUCGUCAUCAAGGUCAACGCCGGAACCUACACAGAGAAGGUGACGAUAUCGUCGAUGCGCGCGUUCAUCACCCUGGAGGGCGCCGGCGCGGACAAGACGAUCGUGCAGUGGGGGGACACGGCGGACACGCCCGCCGGACCGAGGGGGCGCCCGCUCGGCACGUACGGGUCCGCGUCGUUCGCCGUGAACGCGCAGUACUUCAUCGCCAGGAACAUCACCUUCAAGAACACGGCGCCGGUGCCGAACGCGGGGGCGACGGGGAAGCAGGCGGUGGCGCUGCGGGUGUCGGCGGACAACGCGGCGUUCGUGGGGUGCCGGUUCCUGGGCGCGCAGGACACGCUCUACGACCAGUCGGGGCGCCACUACUACAAGGACUGCUACAUCGAGGGGUCCAUCGACUUCAUCUUCGGCAACGCGCUCUCCCUCUACGAGGGCUGCCACGUGCACGCGAUCGCGCGGGACUACGGGGCGCUGACGGCGCAGAACCGGCAGAGCAUGCUGGAGGACACGGGGUUCUCGUUCGUCGGCUGCAGGGUGACGGGGUCGGGGGCGCUCUACCUGGGCCGGGCCUGGGGCACCUUCUCCCGCGUCGUCUUCGCCUACACCUACAUGGACGACAUCAUCGUCCCGCGCGGCUGGUCCAACUGGGGCGACCCCAGCCGCGAGCUGACGGUGUUCUACGGGCAGUACAAGUGCACGGGCCCCGGCGCCAGCUACUCCGGCAGGGUGUCCUGGUCGCGCGAGCUCACCGACGAGGAGGCCAAGCCCUUCAUCUCGCUCAGCUUCAUCGACGGCACCGAGUGGAUCAGGAUCUGA